CAGUAGCCGCGGUAAUACGAAGGGUGCAAGCGUUACUCGGAAUUACUGGGCGUAAAGCGUGCGUAGGUGGUGGUUUAAGUCCGUUGUGAAAGCCCUGGGCUCAACCUGGGAAUUGCAGUGGAUACUGGGUCACUAGAGUGUGGUAGAGGAUAGUGGAAUUUCCGGUGUAGCAGUGAAAUGCGUAGAGAUCGGAAGGAACAUCUGUGGCGAAGGCAACUAUCUGGGCCAACACUGACACUGAGGCACGAAAGCGUGGGGAGCAAACAGGAUUAGAUACCCCGGUAGUCCCUGUCUCUUAUAC
rnacentral:rRNA from 1 species